ACAAGACUACCUUGCCCUAAGUUAUGAAAAGCAAAACUGGUGUCUAAAUUUAAAGGACGCACUAAGUCCUUUUUAUUAAUUACAACAGCUAAAUCUAGCUUCUGAAACCAGGUAUGAUUACCCAUAGUAAUGUAAUUAACGCCUGCCUCUUUUAGAAACUCAUAGUGCUUUAAACUAAGUCCUUUACCGUGAGUCGUAUUUUCGGCAUUAACAAUGACUAAAUCAGCUUGAUACUUUGAUUUGAGUUGGGCUAGAUUAUUCUUAAUAAUAUUACGUCCGGCCUUGCCAUAGACGUCACCUAGGAAAAUGAAUUUAAUGCUAUUCAUCAUUAAUAAUUAAGUCUAGUUGUACAUCCCAAGGAUCGGCUAAAAAAUCACCUUUUUGGAAACUGUACGCUAUUCCUAUUUUAGGUUGUUGUCUAGUUAAUUGCAUUAAAUAACGGUCAUAAUAGCCCUUGCCAAAGCCUAGACGGUAAUUGUCUUUAUUAAAGCCUACCAAUGGUAUUAGGAAGCAGUCUAUUUGAUUAGGUUCGAAUGUAUUUGUCUCCUGAUCAAUAAAGAUAAUUUCGGUAUCACUUAUUACCUUGGGGUAAACAGCUCUUAUUUGGUUAAUCUUUAAAAACUCAAAGAAGAAGUCAACAAAAGUAACCUCAUUUUUAAUGGGUUCAUAAAGUGCAAUUGUUUU
rnacentral:sRNA from 1 species